rnacentral:rRNA from 1 species
CUACGGGUGGCUCCAGUGAGGAAUAUUGCACAAUGGAGGAAACUCUGAUGCAGCAACGCCGCGUGGAGGAUGACGCAUUUCGGUGUGUAAACUCCUUUUAUAUGUCAAGAAAAUGACGGUAGCAUAUGAAUAAGCACCGGCAACUCCGUGCCAGCAGCCGCGGUAAUACGGAGGGUGCAAGCGUUACUCGGAAUCACUGGGCGUAAAGGACGCGUAGGCGGGAUAUCAAGUCAGGUGUGAAAUCCUACAGCUUAACUGUAGAACUGCACUUGAAACUGGUAACCUAGAGUAUGGGAGGGGGAGAUGGAAUUAGUGGUGUAGGGGUAAAGUCCGUAGAUAUCACUAGGAAUACCUAAAGCGAAGGCGAUCUCCUGGAACAUAACUGACGCUAAGGCGUGAAAGCGUGGGGAGCAAACAGGAUUAGAUACCCGUGUAGUC